rnacentral:rRNA from 1 species
AUUGAACGCUGGCGGCAGGCCUAACACAUGCAAGUCGAGCGAGCGGCGGACGGGUGAGUACUGUCUGGGACACUGCCUGAUGGAGGGGGAUAACUACUGGAAACGGUAGCUAAUACCGCAUACCAUCAGAUGUGCCCAGAUGGGAUUAGCUAGUAGGUGGGGUAACGGCUCACCUAGGCGACGAUCCCUAGCUGGUCUGAGAGGAUGACCAGCAAAACUGGAACUGAGACACGGUCCAGACGCCUACGGGAGGAAGCAGUGGGGAAUAGUGCAAAAUGGGCGAAAGCCUGAUGCAGCCAUGCCGCGUGUAUGAAGAAGGCCUUCGGGUUGUAAAGUACUUUCAGCGGGGAGGCGUUACCCGCAGAAGAAGCACCGGCUAACUCCGUGCCAGCAGCCGCGGUAAUUC